UACGUAGGGGGCAAGCGUUGUUCGGAUUCAUUGGGCGUAAAGGGUGCGUAGGCGGUCGCGCAAGUCGGAUGUGAAAUCUCAGGGCUCAACCCUGAAACUGCAUUCGAUACUGCGUGGCUAGAGUGCUGGAGGGGAGACUGGAAUUUACGGUGUAGCAGUGAAAUGCGUAGAUAUCGUAAGGAAGACCAGUGGCGAAGGCGAGUCUCUGGACAGCAACUGACGCUGAGGCACGAAGGCCAGGGGAGCAAACGGG
rnacentral:rRNA from 1 species